rnacentral:rRNA from 1 species
ACGGGAGGCAGCAGUAGGGAAUCUUCGGCAAUGGGGGGAACCCUGACCGAGCAACGCCGCGUGAGUGAAGAAGGUUUUCGGAUCGUAAAGCUCUGUUGUAAGAGAAGAACGUGUGUGAGAGUGGAAAGUUCACACAGUGACGGUAACUUACCAGAAAGGGACGGCUAACUACGUGCCAGCAGCCGCGGUAAUACGUAGGUCCCGAGCGUUGUCCGGAUUUAUUGGGCGUAAAGCGAGCGCAGGCGGUUUGAUAAGUCUGAAGUAAAAGGCUGUGGCUUAACCAUAGUAUGCUUUGGAAACUGUCAAACUUGAGUGCAGAAGGGGAGAGUGGAAUUCCAUGUGUAGCGGUGAAAUGCGUAGAUAUAUGGAGGAACACCGGUGGCGAAAGCGGCUCUCUGGUCUGUAACUGACGCUGAGGCUCGAAAGCGUGGGGAGCAAACAGGAUUAGAUACCCUGGUA